GCUUGGUGUAGAGCAUCUUGUUGAAGUGCUCGGGGCUGAAGUCCUUGACCCACGGCGUGUUGUUGUCGUUCCCGGCCAGUGCCGGGUCCGGGAUCGUGUU
rnacentral:tRNA from 1 species